rnacentral:rRNA from 1 species
AGAAUCAACGCUGGCGGCGUGCCUAACACAUGCAAGUCGAACGAGAAAGUGGAGCAAUCCAUGAGUAAAGUGGCGACCGGGUGAGUAACACGUGACUAACCUACCCUAGAGUGGGGAAUAACCUCGGGAAACCGGGGCUAAUACCGCAUAACAUCUUCGGAUCAAAUGCGUAAGCAGCUUGAGGAGGGGGUCGCGGCCGAUUAGCUAGUUGGCGGGGUAAUGGCCCACCAAGGCAAUGAUCGGUAGCCGGCCUGAGAGGGCGCACGGCCACACUGGAACUGAAACACGGUCCAGACUCCUACGGGAGGCAGCAGUGGGAAUUUUGCGCAAUGGGGGAAACCCUGACGCAGCAACGCCGCGUGGAGGAUGAAGCCCUUUGGGGCGUAAACUUCUUUCGAUCGGGACGAUUAUGACGGUACCGGAAGAAGAAGCACCGGCUAACUCUGCGCCAGCAGCCGC